rnacentral:tmRNA from 1 species
GGGGCUGACUUGGAUUUCGACAGAUUUCUUGUCGCACAGAUAGCAUGCCAAGUGCUACUUGUAAAACAGCAACAAAAAUAACUGUAAACAACGCAGAUUACGCUCCAGCUUACGCUAAAGCUGCGUGAGUUAAUCUCCUUUUGGAGCUGGACUGAUUAGAAUUUCUAGCGUUUUAAUCACUCCAUAACCUUAAGCUAGACGCUUUUAAAAGGUGGUUCGCCUUUUAAACUAAGAAACAAGAACUCUUGAAACUACCUCAAGGUUUUAGAAAGUUGGACCAGAGCUAGUUUUAAGGCUAAAAAACCAACCAAUUUUCUAAGCAUUGUAGAAGUUUGUGUUUAGGGCAAGAUUUUUGGACUGGGGUUCGAUUCCCCACAGCUCCACCA